UCCUGGGUUCUCUGUUCAGCAGGAUCAGAUCCUAACCAGGGCAUUAAAGGUAUUCGCUGCGGGCAGCUCUUUGCUUCUAAAUCCCCUUCUGAUUCAAGGCUAGGUGUUUGGAAUAGUUCCUAGGGAAAGGAUCUGUUUCGAAUUUGCAGACAGAUAGUCUGCAAACUUCUUAUGCCUCUAGAUUCGGACCCAAUUGAUUAUAAUCAUCUCUCUCUCUCCACAAGCUCUUUCACCAACUCCAAACCAAGAUAUGUCAGAGGACAAGAUCCAAAUUCCUGGGAAGAGGAAUCCUCUGAUUAUGUCAUCCCUCCAAAAGCAUUGUAGAUAAUAGAUGUUAAAUUACUCUGUCCUUGUUACUUCCUCAGGAACUGGGGGGAAAAACUAUUUGACCAAAUAGAGGGAGGAAGAAAACUUAGAAGACUGGAUGCACUCCACGAAGUACUCUCUAUUCUUCCAGCGACCACCAACUCCGUUCACAAAAGGGUUCAGCAAACUGAAAUGCCCAAGCUCAUCCCACAUUGAAAGACUUCUCAGAGCAGAGGGCUCCUUCUGGGAUGAAGUGAGGAGCAAAGAAAUAAAACCGGAAAUUCGGAGGGGAAAUCCAACAAAAGCCAAAGUCCACCUUGCAGGUGCUGGUCUCCUCCAAUAUUGGGAACGACAUUCCUUUCCUAAUAGUUCUGACAUUGAGGCAAGUCCUGAAAUAUUAUUGCCUUUUCACCAUCCAGCCCUCUGCCAUCCCCAGGUCUUCCCCUGUACCUCCCCACUUGGGUUAUAAUCAGAGUGCUGCUCUCAGCUCCUUGCUCCUUUCCUGGCUCAAGCCUUCUUCAACUGGAUCACUGGCAAGAGCUUCACCUACUGGACCUCCUAGGGUCGUUUCUUAAAAUCCUGUGUUGCUGCUGGGAAGUGGUAGAAACAUUAGGAGGUGAGCCUAGUGGAAGUUACAUCACUGGGAGCAUAUGCUUGAAGAGGAUGUUGGGACUCCAGUCUCUGCCUCCCUCUCUCACUUUUCCUUCCGACCACCAGAAGGGAAGCAGACGUAAAUAUGCUGAAAUGUUUUCCUCUCUCCCCAAUAUCAAAGAAGAAAAGUCAAAUGACUCAGUGGCUUCUCCCAACAUUGUGCUUCCAAGUCCUGAGAUGUUGGGUGAGUCUCAUACUUCCUUCUCCAGCACUGAAUGAUCUUGUUCUGCGGUGAAAAGAUGGAGAGAAGGGAUUGUGCCGCUCCUUGAUUGGCAUCCUCCUCCAUCUCUGCUCCUAGUCCUCCCACCAAUGUAACCCAAAGGAUACGUGUGACUUUGUGGCACUCUUAUGCAUAAUUCAAAGCUUAUUGAUUUGGACGAGACUGCCACUCUCCAAAUGUGUGCAACAAAGUCAGUAUGACACAUUAAUAUUUUAUGGUUUUUCUGUUCGUGUGUGAGGCUGACUCAGACUGGACUUCCCAGGACAAAGGCUACUGGGAAGUGCAGAGUCCCCUCUGAGACUGCUGAGCAGAAUGGGACCUCAAUUGAUAUACACUGGUCAUCAGAAUCUGAGACAUGGGUUAGAUAUCAAGAUGAGUACCUAACUAGGAAUUAUGUUUCUGUGGCAAUCUUAUAUUCCUGUGUCUGUCUUUGUUCCCCCACCCAGAGUGUUAAGCCCAUUCAGAGUCUCUGCAGGCUUUGCCCAUCUGCAUUGCAGCUGGGGCUUCAGCUGCCUUAAAGGCUGCUAAUAAUCAUGGAAAAUUAAGCCAAAGCCCAGACAAUAUUGUUCACAGUAUCUUGUCGUAUUUUUAAGAUUUUAAAAAAUUCAGACAUUCAAAAAGAUUUAAGACAAUGAAAGUCAUUGUUGCAUUAUUAGUAACAGAAAAACACUGGCAGUCAUUUUGAUGUCCAACAAAAGAGGAUUUUUAAAAUAAAUCAUGAUAUAUAACUUCAUGUGAUGGGAUACUUUAAGCCUAAAAUCGACUCUAAAAUCACUACCUGGAAGACUAAUCAUGAGGGGAAGACACAUGAUAGAUUAUAAGGUGCAAAAGUAGAGUCUCGUAAUAGUCUGUACAGAAUGGCCCCAAUUUUGGAUAGCUAAGAGGUGAGUUAUGUGCUUCAGAGAGCUGAUUUCAUGUAGUUCCGCCAAAGUACCAAACUAGUCUUUCCCUGUGACCUCACUGCUGCCCUUCCAGGGGUCACUAGGGCUCACAGAUAUUCUUGACCUUUGAAGAGUGGUACUAGCCACACAAAGUAAUUCAGAUGGGGAAUACCAGCAUCUCUGGGAACAGAUGGCCAACACACAAGCAAAUUGAUCAAUGUGCCAGAGACCCACUGGCUGAUCUCCGUGGGUGGUCCUAGUGCCAUGGCAGGGAAGGAACUGCUGACUGUUUUCUGUGGCUCUGGUGAAGCAGUUACAUCGGGCAGGUGGUCCACGGGCGUGGUCUUAUGCAGUUCCCUCAAGGCUCCCAGAUGGUACUCACGGAGACAGAGCAACUUAGGGAAGCAGCUAAGUACUGGUCCCCUCCAGAGGGUCUAUGUCAUCCCUCUCAGACCCAUUCGUCUAACUCUUGCCAAAGUUCUGUGUCCCAUUCCUACAUGCCUUCCUCUGGCACAGAGAAUUCUUCAUCUCCCCUGGGACCAGGGAACUUGACUUUUCUUCCCUUCUUGUUUACUCCAGGCAAUUCUAGGCACUGAACUCUUUGGAACAUGGACUUUCAAAAAUAUUCACUUCUAGAACUUGAAUUUCAAGGCUUCUAAAUUCAGAUGUAGAGGGAGGGGCUGCCUCAGUGCCAUUUCCUUGCAUCAUUGAAGAACAUGAAAAGCAAGCAAGAGAAAGAGCGUGCACACAUCAAAAGGAGCUUUCAGAAACAAAUUUAUUUCCAUAUGCUAACCCUCCUCCAGGUCUCCACGGGGUGAUUGGCUCAGGCGGACCUGGCCUUCCCAGAAUCUCACCCACCACUCAGAGUCCUGCUUACAAGCAAGACAUUCCGGGAAAUGCCACUGAGUGAAAGAACCUCGGAGGAGUGAGCAGGAAAUAGGUGCCCCAGUGAGUCCCUGUGGGCUAGCAAGGUAGACUGGGGCCCCGCCAAAUCUUCUUUUCAAAAACCGGUAGGAAAACCAAUAAAGAUAAGAUAAAAAUAAAUCAAAAUGUAACCAACAUAGCCUGUAGAAGUACUUCCCAGUACAAUCUUCACUUGGCCAAAACUCUUGGAAACAAACACUGCCUUCCCUGUUUUGCAAAUGAGCUGACAGAGGAGUCACAGGGACAGCUGGGUUUUGAGCCUCACAGAUUAUCUCUAAAAUCUCUCCUUUUCUUUCUCCAUGCUCAAAUGCUUCCACUACACAUGCUGAGCUCCAGCUGUAUGCUGAGCACUGGGCUGUGUGCUCAGAGAGAGCAGAGACAGGACAGCAUCCCUGAGAGCAGAGUCUACGAUGAAGACUGACCGUCACACCAAACCCUCUGCAGUGGCUGCCACACAGGGCAGACAGGAGAGGCAUGUCCACCUAGGAUGUGGGAGUGACACCGAAGCUGGGACCUGAGAUGACCAGAAAAUGAUCAAAGGACAGGGUUUCGUGAAGACUUUGAUCUUGGGAACUGACUUGAGCAAUCUCCAAUCAGACAGCGACAAUCACAAGUUCCCCUGCGACUCAGGGGUCAUGAACUUCGGGGACUUCACAUUUUCACACUGUCCAGCAAAUAUUGUUAGAAGAAUGAUCUUUUCAAAAAAAAAAAAAAAAACAGAAUGGGAGACCAAUAGAAGUGGAAACAGACCAGGGUUUCCCCAGAGAAUAAAACCAGGGAAGUCAAUCCUC